rnacentral:lncRNA from 10 species
GUUAUGUAUUUAGAUUUAUUAUUCUAAUCUAAUCUGAAGAAAUACAAAUAAUUGAGAAAUAGAUGAUUCCAAAUAGACUGUCCUCAUAGUUUCAAAGUCACAGUCUCUCAUGCAAGAUUGUCUAUAUUAACAGUGUUGUCUGUCAACAUUAUCCGUCCCUUUUGAGGGUAGUGUCAUCUGAUAACAUUUUUGAGUCAUGGGAAAUUUCCGGAAACAGAACAGCACACAGAAAGGACUGACCUAUUUCUCUUAGAGUAACAUCCUCGUGGCUCAUCCACUGAUUGAAGAAAUAUUUCUGUUGCUAGGAGAAAGGACCUUGAAACCUUGAAGUAUUCUGUGGUAUCCUGUGUGUACACAGUUCUUCUUCAAAGAGAACUUAGAGACAUUUACUUGGGUGACUUGACAUUAAAGGGAAGAGAUUGCCUAGAGCAGGGGGCAGCACACUGUGGACUGAGAACCAAAUCAAGCCAGGCAUCUGUUUUUGCAAAUAAAGUUUUAUUAGAAAACAGCAAUGUCCAUUCAUUUACACAUUGUCUAUGGCUGAUUUCAUGCUACAAUUGCAGAGUCCAUAAUUGCAACUAAGAUGUUAUGAUUUGCAAAACCUAAAGUACUCACCAAUUAACAUUUUAUAAAAUAUGUUUGCUGACCCUUGACAUUUGAGGACAGUUGGACAUGGGUCUAAGGUGACAUUGAUACCCAAAGAGCCAAAGCAUCAUCAUGGCCCCCUGAUAAAGUGGGAGCUUAUAGGGUUAUGUAAUAAUUAGUGUCCUGGGUGAAUUCAGUUAAAUUCUGCAGACCAACCCAGCAGUUCUCUUCCCAGUCCCUGAAUGGAUAAUUCGAUUAAUAUACUUGACCAUUGGGGUAGCUCCUGCAUUGGGCCCUUUGCCUGUCAAGUAAGAAGGACAUGUGAAACCACCUGAAACUGCCACCCAAGUCACCUACAUAGCAAAUCAAUAACAAUAUCGCAUGCUCAUAGGGGGCUGGAGUUGUGUUGAAGAGAUGAGUGUCAUUUUAAAAGUCCUUAAGCUUGUGGUGGGAUACGGAGUGGUGGGGGUUUUUAUCAUUUUCUUUUAACUCCUCAGUGCAGCCUCUUUAGUAGCAAGCUGUAUCCUGAAGGAGAACUGGAGAUUACCUCAACCAACCAAGUUGCCACUCUGAUGGCAGCUUCAGCUCCAGACACAGAGUUGUUUUUAGAAUUGAUUCCAACAGCCAAUUGGGCACAUGGUGCACAACCCUGAAUUGUUGGAUAUACUCUUCUCUUCUGAUCAGAACAGAAGUCUUAUUGGAAUUCAUGUGGAAAGGACAAUAGUUACUACUAGUCUUGCCCUAGAAUUAUGUUUACUCUACUUGGCCCUGUUAUAUAAGGGAACAAAGCCAUCUGGUGCAUCUGCAGAACACUAUGCUGAUCUACUUUGUCGAGACGUCAUGCUGAUUGGGUUGGAUAAGCAAGAAGCCAUGGAGGUCUUGGGAAGAUACAUGCACUCCAGAGGGUGGAUGCAGGAGCUAAACUCUGAGAAGAUUCAGGGACUUGUCACUUCAAUAAAGUUUUGAGGUGUUUAGAAGUCAGAGGAUUUGUAGAAUGUUUCUUACAGAGUUCAAGCAAAUUGUUGUUGCAUCUUGCAUCUCCUGCCACAAAGAAGGAAGUUGAUCACCUGGAUAGGUCCUUUGGGAUCUGGAGAUGACACCUUCUACAUCAGAUGACUUAGACCAUGGGCAGCUAGGAACAGGUCCUUGGGACAGGAAAGGGCUCUGCAGUAGGUUCACUCUGUAGUGGAUGCUUCCCUGCCACGUGGUCUGUGAAACCUACACUCCCCAUGGGGGUGUCAGUAGUAAGUGCACAUGCAAUGGGAGAAUCACAACACAGGCUCUUGGAAGAGAUGCAGUCCAUGCCAUCUGCAGCUGAAAAAUCCGCCCCCCCUUGGGACAUACUACCUGGCAUAGUACUGGACCCAGACUGGGCUGGCCUGUGGCUUGCUUUAUCUGAUAGGAUGUGCUGGAGAGGUGUGUGAGCUGGAGGCCUCGAAGGCCUUGCAGCUUCUGCUUAGAACCUCUUACAACGCCAACAUCAACUCCCCAUCAGCCUCCUGGGAAGAAGCCCAGUAACCCCAAUGGAAGCAUGAGAGGCCCUAGGAGAAGAAUUAAGAUGCCAUCGCCAACAGCUGGCACCAGCAUUCCAGAGUCUGAAUGAGGCCAGCUUGGAUCCCAAUCAGCUGCAUGAGUGACCCCAGGAGAGAUAAAAUGUUCUACAGGAAUCAAAGCUUGUCAUUCACUCAGGCCCUCACUUGGUGGCAGUAUGUUAGAGAAGACUGCUUGUUCCAGAGCCUGGUUCUCAGCUUUGCAAUCUACAGAUGGUUCAUUCUAGCCACGUGUGCAAGGAUGUGAUAUACUAGAGUGCACAUUGAUUACUUGAACUUCCUUGAAAUAUCAUUUUCAAGACAAGACUACUAAGGACUAAUCUUCAUCAUCAUCAUCAUCAUUAACAUAAUCACAGCUGACAUUUACUGAACAUUAGCAAUGUGGUAAGCACUGCAGUAGGAGUUUUCACGUGUCUACUCAUGUAAUCCUCAAUGCAACCUUAAAGAAGACUACAAUGCCAGCAUCUGGGAUAACUACUAGAAUGUUCUCUGCCAUCCACUAAGCAUUGAAUCCCUCCAGACACUGUUACAACAGACAAAAACCUGUACUGGGCUACUGACAACAAAGCUGUGGCAAAUCUCUGGAAAAGCCCAACAUUCGGCUGUGGGAGAAAGAAGAGAAUUAUCCAAAAUAGAGUGAGCAGGAAAGGCUCCAAGGAUGUGAAGAAAACGAGGCCAGAGUGCUCUGGAGGCCAACAGGAAGGUAGUCUCCAGAAUUGUGCAAGUGACGUACUUUCAGGUUUGCUGCCAUUCACAACAGACAACCUACCAGCUUUCAUGGUCUAAAGAGGGCUUAAAUUUAAUUUGCAAAUAUCUUCAGAGAAGAAAUACAGUCUCUACAGUCUAUACUGAGUUAUAAGUGACUGAUACCAGCUCUUCAUUAGAAGGUUGUUCUUUCUUCUAUUUGCCAUGAACUACAGGGGUCAAAAGAAGGGUUAGCACUAUCCUAGCUCCCUGUUAAUUCUUGCAAAUCAGCACUCUUUUAUAACCCUUUGUAACAUCCCAUUUCAAUGCAUAAUAGAAGGUAUGCAGUCUUCCACCUCCUCAUUGGUGGGUGCCAUUUACACACUCCUGGCCAAUCCCCUCAUUCAUGAAUGAUAUUCAUACCUUCCUUAAAGUCAUCAUGCUUAAUGUCUUCUAUAGCAUUGAAUAAACUCUGUACUAUUUCCUUCACAG